GGUUCAGGAUGAACGCUAGCUACAGGCUUAACACAUGCAAGUCGAGGGGCAGCAUUGGAGUAGCAAUACUCAGAUGGCGACCGGCGCACGGGUGAGUAACACGUAUCCAACCUGCCGCUUACUCGGGGAUAGCCUUUCGAAAGAAAGAUUAAUACCCGAUGGUAUAAAGAGUUCGCAUGUUCUCUUUAUUAAAGAAUUUCGGUAAGCGAUGGGGAUGCGUUCCAUUAGAUAGUUGGCGGGGUAACGGCCCACCAAGUCUACGAUGGAUAGGGGUUCUGAGAGGAAGGUCCCCCACAUUGGAACUGAGACACGGUCCAAACUCCUACGGGAGGCAGCAGUGAGGAAUAUUGGUCAAUGGACGAGAGUCUGAACCAGCCAAAGUAGCGUGAAGGAUGACUGCCCUAUGGGUUGUAAACUUCUUUUAUAAGGGAAUAAAGUGAGGGACGUGUCCCUUUUUGUAUGUACCUUAUGAAUAAGGAUCGGCUAACUCCGUGCCAGCCGCCGC
rnacentral:rRNA from 1 species